AGCGAACGCUGGCGGCGUGCUUAACACAUGCAAGUCGAGCGAGAAAGGGGGCUUCGGCCCCUGAGUACAGCGGCGAACGGGUGCGUAAUGCAUGAGCAAUCUACCCUUGAGGCGGGAAUAACCCAGCGAAAGUUGGGCUAAUACCGGAUAAGACCACAAGAGGAGACCCUAGAGGCUAAAGGCAGCUCUCUUUUGGGGGCGGCCCUUUGAGGAGGAGCUCAUGUCCUACAGCUAGUUGGUAGGGUAACGGCCUACCAAGGCGAAGACGGGUAGCUGGUCUUAGAGGAUGAUCAGCCACACGGGGACUGAGACACGGCCCCGACUCCUACGGGAGGCAGCAGUGGGAAUCUUGCGCAAUGGGCGAAAGCCUGACGC
rnacentral:rRNA from 1 species